rnacentral:rRNA from 1 species
UACGAAGGGGGCUAGCGUUGCUCGGAAUCACUGGGCGUAAAGGGUGCGUAGGCGGGUCUUUAAGUCAGGGGUGAAAUCCUGGAGCUCAACUCCAGAACUGCCUUUGAUACUGAAGAUCUUGAGUCCGGGAGAGGUGAGUGGAACUGCGAGUGUAGAGGUGAAAUUCGUAGAUAUUCGCAAGAACACCAGUGGCGAAGGCGGCUACCUGGACCAGCAUUGACACUCAAGCACGAAAGCGUGGGGAGCAAACAGG